UUGACGGAAGAUAGAGAGCAC
rnacentral:miRNA from 1 species